CACGUAGGCACCAAGCGUUGUCCGGAUUUAUUGGGCGUAAAGAGCUCGUAGGCGGUUCGGUAAGUCGGGUGUGAAAACUCUGGGCUCAACCCAGAGCCGCCACCCGAUACUGCUGUGACUCGAGUGCGGUAGGGGAGCGGGGAAUUCCUGGUGUAGCGGUGAAAUGCGCAGAUAUCAGGAGGAACACCAGUGGCGAAGGCGGUUACCUGGAGCUUUGCUGACGCUGAUGCGCGAAAGCGUGGGGAGCGAUCCGG
rnacentral:rRNA from 1 species